rfam:Brassica oleracea var. oleracea cultivar TO1000 chromosome C5, whole genome shotgun sequence
GGAAUAUAAGAACCUGUCUCUUAACUUUUAACUAAAAAAACUAAGAACCGGUUCUUAAAUAAGAGUUUUAAGAAGCGGUUCUUAUUUUUUUAGUUAAAAGUUAAAAGAUAGAUUCUUAUAUUCC